CCUAGCCAAUGAUGGGGUGAAGAACAGGCAACAGGACAAUGUUAAUCUUGUCAGCUCCAGUGAAAUGCCCCUGAUAACAGCCUUCUUUGCAUUCCAAAUCCUGUGUGCUCGUUAAAGUGCAUAUCAAGGGUCCAAUCAGAAUAUGAUGGCAAUCAAACCACAGUAUUCAAUGAAGAGAUUUCCAGGCUGAAUUCAUUAGUAAACAUCAUGAAUUUCAGGUUCAUACCAGUCUGCUGUUUGUUUGUACCACUGUACAAAGCUCAGUUAUGAAGCCUUCAGACAGUCUAAAAAUAGCAUAAGACUAAUUAAAAGUUUCAAUUAGAUUUGCGUAAGCCUUUUAUUUUUCCUUUAAACCUUGCUUGUCUGUCUAACU